rnacentral:rRNA from 1 species
AUACGGAGGGUGCAAGCGUUACUCGGAAUCACUGGGCGUAAAGCGCGCGCGGGCGGUCUUUUAAGUUGGAUGUGAAAGCCUACAGCUCAACUGUAGAACUGCAUCCAAAACUAUUAGACUAGAGUCUGGGAGGGGAAGAUGGAAUUAGUUGUGUAGGGGUAAAAUCCGUAGAGAUAACUAGGAAUACCAAAAGCGAAGGCGAUCUUCUGGAACAGUACUGACGCUGAGGCGCGAAAGCGUGGGGAGCAAACAGGAUUAGAAACCCCAGUAGUCC